UCGAGGGGCAGCGGGGGCGAAGCUUGCUUCGCCUGCCGGCGACCGGCGCACGGGUGAGUAACACGUAUGCGACCUGCCCCCCGCAGGGGGAUAACCGGGAGAAAUCCCGACUAAUACCGCGUAACGCCGCGGGGCUGCAUGGCCCCGCGGCCAAAGGAAGCGAUUCCGGCGGGGGAUGGGCAUGCGGCGCAUUAGCUAGUCGGCGGGGUAACGGCCCACCGAGGCGACGAUGCGUAGGGGUUCUGAGAGGAAGGUCCCCCACACUGGUACUGAGACACGGACCAGACUCCUACGGGAGGCAGCAGUGAGGAAUAUUGGUCAAUGGGCGUAAGCCUGAACCAGCCAAGUCGCGUGAGGGAAGACGGUCCUACGGAUUGUAAACCUCUUUUGCCGGGGAGCAACGGGGUCCUUGCGAGGGCCUUAUGAGAGUACCCGGAGAAAAAGCAUCGGCUAACUCCGUGCCAGCAGCCGCGGUAAUACGGAGGAUGCGAGCGUUAUCCGGAUUUAUUGGGUUUAAAGGGUGCGUAGGCGGGCUGUUAAGUCAGCGGUCAAAUGUCGGGGCUCAACCCCGGCCUGCCGUUGAAACUGGCGGCCUCGAGUGGGCGAGAAGUAUGCGGAAUGCGUGGUGUAGCGGUGAAAUGCAUAGAUAUCACGCAGAACUCCGAUUGCGAAGGCAGCAUACCGGCGCCCGACUGACGCUGAGGCACGAAAGCGUGGGUAUCGAACAGGAUUAGAUACCCUGGUAGUC
rnacentral:rRNA from 1 species